CGGCGCGGCGGCGCUGCGAGGCUGCCGCUGCUGCCCCUGCGGGCCCCGGGCGCGUCUCCGCGGGCGGCGUUGCCCGCGGCGCGGCGUGUGCACCGAGCGAGUGAAGGUAUGUUUGGCGGGCGCGGCUGGAGCUGCUGCCGCCGCCGCCGCGCCAGCAGGUCCUAAUGCCUGUCACUUCCCAGGACACUGGCAGCAGCAGCAGCCCGGAGCCCCCGAGCCCUCGGCAGGUUUGCCUGUCCUUCCCCGCGAUCUGAUUGGAUAAAGUGGGGGCUCGACGGUGGCCGACGUGGGACAGUCUGGCUGUGGCAGGGGUCUCGGAAACCAUGGGUUAUUGCAGUGGCAGGUGCACGCUUAUCUUUAUCUGUGGCAUGCAACUGGUUUGUGUGCUGGAGAGGCAAAUAUUUGACUUCCUUGGAUAUCAGUGGGCACCUAUCCUGGCAAAUUUUGUACAUAUUAUUAUCGUCAUUCUUGGUUUAUUUGGGACUAUUCAAUAUAGACCUCGUUACAUAACAGGAUAUGCUGUCUGGCUAGUCCUCUGGGUUACCUGGAAUGUGUUUGUUAUCUGCUUCUAUUUGGAGGCUGGGGACCUCUCAAAGGAAACAGACCUUAUCCUGACUUUUAAUAUUUCAAUGCACCGAUCUUGGUGGAUGGAGAAUGGACCAGGAUGUACGGUGACAUCAGUGACACCCGCACCAGACUGGGCCCCAGAAGACCAUCGCUACAUCACGGUCUCAGGGUGUUUUCUGGAGUACCAGUACAUAGAAGUGGCUCAUAGUUCCCUCCAGAUUGUCCUCGCACUGGCAGGGUUCAUCUACGCCUGUUAUGUUGUGAAAUGUAUAACUGAAGAAGAGGACAGCUUUGAUUUCAUAGGUGGCUUUGAUUCUUAUGGCUAUCAAGGGCCUCAGAAGACAUCUCAUUUACAACUACAGCCUAUGUACAUGCAAAUUCCCUUGGAUAACAACUGAUAACAAAUUCUAUAUAUCAGCAUCAAGUGAUAUGCUGAAUUGCAAGCGAAGAUCAAAAUAGAAAGUCAAAAUAAUACAGAUGGCCUCAGUAUGUCAGCUCCUGGACCUUUCAAAGAACUUGUUUUGCAGUGGCCUCCUGCAUUUUAUGAAGAGCAAGAAGCAACUGAGUUUAAAUAUAUAUACAUGUUAACAGAACAAACAUAAAGCCUCUACAUACACUGAGACACACACACACACACACACACACACACACACACACAUGCACACACACACAGAGGCACAUACUAAUUCCUCUUGGCCUCCUCUUUCUAACUGAAACAAAUAUGCAGGACACUCCCAUCUUGGAUUUCCUGAAAGUAAGCUUCUUUCUCCCAGGCCUUUGGAAAGUUCAUAAGGAGAUGUGUUGGUGCCCUCUGCUGGCCGUCACUAACUACUCUGCAGCCCAGCCAGUCGGCCUCUGUGAGCUGCAAAGUCAUCCAGGGCACAUUAGUUUGACAGCCCUGUCUUCUGCACUCCAUACGUCUUGAUAGCACCACGGCUACGUAGGCAAUGUAAUUGCAAAAACAAACAAAACAGGCCAUGAUGACCUUGUAACCGAAGUCCGAAAUGGCAGGUUGUUUGCCCUAAAGGCUAUACCGUACAUACUUGCCUUAACCCACCUAAGUUGUGCGCCCGAGUCUCAGUGCAGACCUCCCCAAGUCACUUCCUUUAGGCUAACACACUGCUAUUAAUUCCGAACGAGUUUGAGUCUGUGUGUUUCACGUCAAGAAACAGGACUGCAUAGCUCAGCAGCUCAGUGUGUCUGUGUACAAAAACUGCCAGCUGUCAGCAAAGUGCUUUAUCAUUGAACCUCCAUGGUGGCCAAAAACAGACAAGUGACAAUAACAACAACAACAACAACAAUAAUCAUGUUCUUUAUAAUUCUUAAAUAUGGUCUUCUGAAGGGGUUGGGUGGGACAAAGUAAAAUUUAUUAAUCUACUAAACUCAUAAUCUACUGGAAGCAGAGAACAGAAAUGGCUUAACUCACUGAUUUUAUUUACUGCACUCUAGGUGCUUUUAUAAGUAUCUACAAAUGUCUUUUACUAACACAGAAACAGCUGUGGAUUUCUAUCAACAGAGGCCAACUGAAUAUGUAUUAGCUAUGUUUACUCUUUUAUAUCUAAUUCAAAUGGAAGACCCUACGUAGGUGAACUUUUUUUCCUAACUUCAGCGUACGAGAUUAUUUUUUGGGUGGGCGGGGGGAGCAAUAGUUACCUUGGUGAAAUAUUUGAGAUCUCUUUGUGGUAUUUGGGGGAUCUGUUGUGUGUUAGAGUGUAUUUUAAUCCUCCUGUAUUAUUGUGGCAGAAAAACUGUGCUGUUAACGUAGUUGGCAACAAGAUGCCUUUGGAAACUUAAUAGUAGGUCAAUGUGUUUAUGGAAUAUUCUGAAUUCCUAGGAAAUUUUGUUCUAUAUACUCAAGCAUUAUUUGGUUUUCAUUAGUGGGAAACAUAAUUAGCUCAGGCUUAUCAGGAACUCCGAAGAGUCAUGUUUUUUCUUGGAUCCACCUGAGAUGCUAAAAUCAAUUUUUUUUAAACUAAUACAACAUCCUUCAGUGCAGUGAAAUUGAGACUUGAAAAGUUACAAAUUGGCAUGGAGCAAUGUUUUCUCUCUUGGUUUCUAUGUAGUUUCUUCAGUUAUUGGGUUAACCUACUUUGGACCUUAGCCCAUCCAGAUCUACAUAAACCAGCCCCAUUACUGUGUUUGCAUGGAUGUCUGUGAAAUACACACAUAUACAUUCAAAAACGAUAAAGGAACAAAGGUUAUAUUGGAACAUAAACUAAAAAAAAAAAAAAAAAAAAAAAGGUUCCAGCACUUGUGCUUGAAUUUUCUCAGUGGCUUGUAUAUGUUUGUCCAUACAUACAUGUAUAAAAUAAAUAAUUGCAAACAUGUCAGUGAAACCUCAUAUGAUGAUUUUAUAGUGACAUGCAUGUUUAAUGUAUGAGAAAAAUAUUUACCAAUUUAUUGUCCUCUGAUUCUUAAAAUUUAAAUACUCUACAUGCCAGAAACUAUUCUAAUGUGACUAUUAACGUGAAAAUUAAAAUGAGGUUUCACUGUACAUUCAUGCUGUGAUGAGAUUCCACCUUAUAGGACAUGUAUAUGGAUAGAGAUUUAAGUGCACAGAGAACAAGCCCUCAUAUUCCUGCUUUAAGUUGCAGCCAAGCUACCACUUAAUCACUACUAUCAUCACCACCAAAAUUUUCAAAACCAGUUGUUGACUACUAAAGAGUAAUUCGUGGACAGGUCUUCUUUCGGGAGCAGUGAGCACAGUAGUGUGAUUAUAUCUGGAAAACCAUCUGAGUUGUACAGCUGAUUCCUCCUCAAAAUCCGGUGAAGAAUGCUAUUUUUCUAGGCUGAGCUUUUGUUAUAAACCUAAUAUUCAGAAGGCAAGAGUUACAAUCCUGAUGUGUCUUUUUUUUUUGCGUUUGUUAAUUCUGAAUGUAUUUUUAACAGAGUGAUUUUUUUGACUUACUAGUGUAAUUUGCAUUUUAAAAAUAAAUGGAAAAACAAUUAAGCUUCUGA